GCCGACGUAGCUCAGCCGGUAGAGCAGCUGAUUCGUAAUCAGCAGGUCGUGGGUUCAAGUCCCAUCGUCGGCU
rnacentral:tRNA from 1 species